UGCGGGGUAGUUCAACGGUAGAAUAGCCGCCCGAUAACCGGAAGAUGCGGGUUCGACUCCCGCCCCUGCAA
rnacentral:tRNA from 1 species